rnacentral:rRNA from 1 species
AUUGGACGCUGGCGGCAGGCCUAGCACAUGCCAGUCGAGCGGAUGAAGGGAGCUUGCUCCUGGAUUCAGCGGCGGACGGGUGAGUAAUGCCUAGGAAUCUGCCUGGUAGUGGGGGAUAACGUCCGGAAACGGGCGCUAAUACCGCAUACGUCCUGAGGGAGAAAGUGGGGAUCUUCGGACCUCACGCUAUCAGAUGAGCCUAGGUCGGAUUAGCUAGUUGGUGGGGUAAAGGCCUACCAAGGCGACGAUCCGUAACUGGUCUGAGAGGAUGAUCAGUCACACUGGAACUGAGACACGGUCCAGACUCCUACGGGAGGCAGCAGUGGGGAAUAUUGGACAAUGGGCGAAAGCCUGAUCCAGCCAUGCCGCGUGUGUGAAGAAGGUCUUCGGAUUGUAAAGCACUUUAAGUUGGGAGGAAGGGCAGUAAGUUAAUACCUUGCUGUUUUGACGUUACCAACAGAAUAAGCACCGGCUAACUUCGUG